rnacentral:ncRNA from 1 species
GUUCAUAUAGAUGGACUUACUUAAAAGGGAAGCCUGUGAGAGUCAGGCGCUGUCCCGCAACUGUAAAUGUCGGUUGAUCUUGCAUAGCCACUGCUUGUGAAAGUGGGAAGGGCGAGGCAACGAGAGGCAUGAGCCAGGAGACCUGCCGUACGCAA